CAUUGGCAUCUAUUAGGUUGUUACAAAACUAAUUGCAGUUUUUGCCAUUACUUUCAGUAGCAAAAAUCUCAAUUACUUUUGCACCAACUUAAUACUU
ensembl:miRNA